AACCCGCCUGCAUGAAGUUGGAAUCACUAGUAAUCGCGGAUCAGCAUGCCGCGGUGAAUGCGUUCUCGGGCCUUGUACACACCGCCGUCACACCAUGAGAGUCGGGAACACCCGAAGUCCGUAGCCUAACCGCAAGGGGGGCGCGGCCGAAGGUGGGCUCGAUAAUUGGGGUGAAGUCGUAACAAGGUAAC
rnacentral:rRNA from 1 species